UACGUAGGUGGCAAGCGUUGUCCGGAAUUAUUGGGCGUAAAGCGCGCGCAGGUGGUUUCUUAAGUCUGAUGUGAAAGCCCACGGCUCAACCGUGGAGGGUCAUUGGAAACUGGGGAACUUGAGUGCAGGAGAGAAGAGUGGAGUUCCACGUGUAGCGGUGAAAUGCGUAGAGAUGUGGAGGAACACCAGUGGCGAAGGCGACUCUUUGGCCUGUAACUGACACUGAGGCGCGAAAGCGUGGGGAGCGAACAGG
rnacentral:rRNA from 1 species